CUUAAUUUUUUAUUUUUGUUAAAAAUUUAUUUUGUUUAAAAAAAGGACUAUUUGUUUUAUUAUUUUUUUUGAAAAAAUUUUUUUUUAUUAUAGUUUAUUAGUAUUGUGAAAGAAUAAUUUUAAGUUUUUAUAAGAAAAAUUUAUUUUUUGUACCUUUUGUAUCAGGGUUUGUCUAUAAAUAAUUAUUUUUUAAUAUUCUCGAAUCUAGAAGAUCUAUAAGUUUAUAUUUUUUAUUGUUGAAUAAAUAUUGUUAAUAGAUUUAUAGAAAUGAAAUGUUUUUCGAUUCUGGAUAUAUCUAGUUUCUAAAGAAAAAAAUUUAAUUUUAUCUUUGUUGUGAAAGUAAGUUUAUUUAUUAGCUUCUUUUUUUAAAAGUUAAAGAAUUAUGGGGAUGAGCUUGUAAUUUAUGCGCAUAUUUUUUGUUUGAUUUAUUUAUAGUAGGAUUAAAAGUUUCUUUCUUUAAUGGUUUUAUAACUUUAUAAUUUUAUAUAAAAAAUUUAUUUUUUAUUGCUUUUUGUAUUUAGAAGAUUAAUGUAAUUUUUUUAUUGUUGUUAAAAUGAUUGGAUUAGUAUAUUUUUGUUUAUAUAUAUAUAUAUUUGUCUAGGUUAAUUGAAGGAACUCGGCAAUGAUAUUUUUCACCUGUUUAAUAAAAACAUGGCCUUUUGAUUAUAAUUUAAGGUCAAGCCUGCCCAAUGAUUAAUUUAAUGGCCGCGGUAUUUUGACCGUGCAAAGGUAGCAUAAUCAUUAGUUUUUUAAUUGAAAGCUGGAAUGAAUGGUUGGAUGAGAAAAUGACUGUCUCCGGUUAAUUUUAUAGAAUUUUAUUUUUAAGUUAAAAAGCUUAAAUUUUUAUAAAAGACGAGAAGACCCUAUAGAGUUUUAUAUUUAAUUUAUUAAUAGUAUUUAGUAUUUAAUGUUGUUUUUUUAUUUAAGUAUUUGGUUGGGGUGACUGGAAAAUUAAUUUAACUUUUUUGUUUAUUUACACUAAUUAGUGAAUUUUUGAUCCUUUUUUAGAUUAACAGAGUAAAUUACCUUAGGGAUAACAGCGUUAUUUUUCUUGAGAGUUCUUAUCGAAAGAAGAGAUUGCGACCUCGAUGUUGGAUUAAAAUGAAUUUCUGGUGUAGGAGCUGGGAAAUUAAGUCUGUUCGACUUUUAAAAUUUUACAUGAUCUGAGUUUAAACCGGCGUGAGCCAGGUUGGUUUCUAUCUUUAUAUUGGAUAAUAUUUUAGUACGAAAGGACCAAGUAUUAGUUUAAUUAAAUUAUUAUUUGAAUAUUAUUU
rnacentral:rRNA from 1 species